rnacentral:rRNA from 1 species
GUGAGGAAUAUUGCGCAAUGGAGGCAACUCUGACGCAGCCAUGCCGCGUGCAGGAAGAAGGCGCUACGCGUUGUAAACUGCUUUUAACCGGGAAGAAACCCCAGGACGUGUCCUGGGUUGACGGUACCGGAGGAAUAAGCACCGGCUAACUUCGUGCCAGCAGCCGCGGUAAUACGAAGGGUGCAAGCGUUAUCCGGAUUCAUUGGGUUUAAAGGGUGCGUAGGCGGAGCGUUAAGUCAGUGGUGAAAUCCUGCAGCUUAACUGUAGACUUGCCAUUGAUACUGGCGCUCUUGAGUGCGCUUGAAGUGGGCGGAAUGUGCCGUGUAGCGGUGAAAUGCUUAGAUAUGGCACAGAACACCAAUUGCGAAGGCAGCUCACUAAGGCGAUACUGACGCUGAGGCACGAAAGCGUGGGGAUCGAACAGGAUUAGAUACCCGGGUAGUCC